GGCUGCGGACGAGACGGAGGGUUCGGGGUUAGCAGCUGCUGGCUGUGGCAACAAGGCGAGCUCCACCAGCGCUAAUGGUCUGAGCGGCAGUUUAAACCAUGACCCAGUUACAGGACCAGACCUCCUAGACUUGAUUUGAAAACUUCCCAAAGUUGCCCGACGUGGCCAGACGGUGUGACCAGGAUGGAAGGAGACGCUCAGGAAAAUAAUCUAAUGUCAGCCGCACUGCUUUAAUGAAAACAUCAAAAUGAGAAACCCACUUUUGUCCUGUUCGCAGCGAUUUUACAAAUAUUUCCUGGAGAAAUGAAAGUAAAAAAUAAAUUAAAUUCCGGAGGGAAGAUGCAGCACACGCUUGGGGGUGACCAGCUCUCCUCUUUAAUGCUGCUUCCUGGCGUCGUUAAUGAGAUUCCUUAUGAAAUGCAGUUUUUCAGGACCUGAAAUUCCAGGACAUACUUCUGUCUGUCAGGAAUUUCACAUGGAUGCAUUAGGUUCACAUUAUUGAAAUAUUUAAGCGUAAACAUGCAAAAUAGGACACUUUUCUGUUUUUAGGGAAAUAACACAAUAUACUAAAAAUAGGCACCCCAGCAUUCCAAGGAACAGAAAUCAGUGGAGAGCUUUGAGCAGUACUGGGAUGCUGUGCAGCAUUUGGACUGCACUUCACAGAUACUAUUCUUAAAUGAUAUGAUUAUCGUUUUUAAAAGCACCGCCUUUGUUAAGGUCACUUAAGCCUUGUUUACUUUAAAUCCCAGGAAGUUAUCUGUACAGCGGAGAGACUCAGCGGCGUUGCCGUGACGUUUUGGAUAGAACAAACCAUCAUCGCAAACAAAAAAUGAGGCAGGAAGCUUAACAGGAUUCCAGAGACGCCUGCUCUCCGGAGUCGGGGAAAGCAAACAUCUUAAGACGGCGACAUGGCGGAAGCUGCGGAGCCCUGUUUCCAGGCAGGCGGUAGCAAAGCACUUCCAAACAGCAUGGAAGGAGGGUCGUUUCUGUUUUCCUUUAUGGGGAAAAAUGAACGUACAGUGAAAAUAUAAAAAUACAGCAUUUAUCACCAUGGCUAAUAAAUGGUGGCAUGGGGGGCACUGUGUAAGUGAGCCUGCCCCCCAUCCAGGUGACGCGCUGACAGGGGGAGACAGACCGUGCCCGUCAUCUUGCCAAGGGAUCGGAUUCGUGCCUUCGUUGGCCUUCUUCACACGCAUCAUCGAGCACAUCGCUGGAACACCUGACAUGACAGUGUCACCGGCGUCGUCAACAGCGAAGCCGGCAGUGGGGAAGCCCGCUGGCAGAUGUGGGCAACGCGUGGAGCGCGAGAUUGUCUCAUGAAACAGAUCACUGCUUUUCACUUGCUUGCCCAUCAGUCACUUUCCGUUUAUUUGUUUAUUUUGCGUCAACCUAUUUUCCAGGUUUUUUUAACGAUAAUAUAUUUUUUUAACAACGAUAUACCUUGGAUUCGAAGGACCUCCACCUCAUCAAAAUGAAUGCUUGUAAGCACGGCGCAAAACAACUGUUUUCCACAUGUAGGACCUGGCCUGCUGCA